GGUUUAAUUACCCAAGUUUGAGGUACGCCCGAAAACUGACCCAAAGAAAUUUGGCGUUAGCUAUAAAUUUUGGAACGUCUCCUUUAGGGGAGACAAA
rnacentral:snRNA from 14 species